CGGCUCAUGCGGUAAGGAGCAACCAAAAUGGGCUGGGUGCCUGGUUGUAGGUCUAUAGUGAACUCAACUUUCCUGCCCACUGGUAGUCUAGGUAGUUCGUCCGGAAACACAUCUGAAAAGUCUCAGACUACCGAAAUCUCUUAGAUAUAAAUUUCCUUCUUGGGCUUUCCUAGUUAGAGAAAAUAACAAGGUUAAAGUACUUGAAAAUUAAGGAAACUUGCCAUCAAGGAAUAAGUACCAAAUUAUUUUAUUAAUUUGUAAAUGGCUCCUCAUUAG
rnacentral:lncRNA from 1 species